rnacentral:rRNA from 1 species
UGGUGGGGUAACGGCCUACCAAGGCAGCGAUGGGUAGCCGGUCUGAGAGGAUGGUCGGCCACACUGGGACUGAGACACGGCCCAGACUCCUACGGGAGGCAGCAGUGGGGAAUUUUGCGCAAUGGGGGAAACCUUGACGCAGCGACGCCGCGUGGGUGAUGAAUGCCUUCGGGUUGUAAAGCCCUGUUGGGGGGGAAGAUAAUGACGGUACCCCCUGAGGAAGCCCCGGCUAACUACGUGCCAGCAGCCGCGGUAAGACGUAGGGGGCGAACGUUGUCCGGAAUUACUGGGCGUAAAGGGCGUGUAGGCGGCCAUUCAAGUCGGCUGUGAAAUUCCCCGGCUUAACCGGGGGGGUGCAGUCGAAACUGAUUGGCUUGAGUGCAGGAGAGGGUGGUGGAAUUCCCGGUGUAGCGGUGACAUGCGUAGAUAUCGGGAGGAACACCGGUGGCGAAGGCGACCUCCUGGCCUGUUACUGACGCUGAGGCGCGAAAGCCGGGGGAGCAAACAGGAUUAGAUACCCUGGUAGUCCCGGCCGUAAACUCUGGGUACUAGGUGUAGGGGGCUUCGAUGCCUUCUGUGCCGUAGUUAA